rnacentral:rRNA from 1 species
AGUGAACGCUGGCGGCAGGCCUAACACAUGCAAGUCGAACGGCAGCACAGGAGAGCUUGCUCUCUGGGUGGCGAGUGGCGGACGGGUGAGGAAUACGUCGGAAUCUGCCUAUUUGUGGGGGAUAACGUAGGGAAACUUACGCUAAUACCGCAUACGACCUACGGGGUGAAAGCGGAGGACCUUCGGGCUUCGCGCAGAUAGAUGAGCCGACGUCGGAUUAGCUUGNGGCGGGGUAAAGGGCCCACCAAGGCGACGAUCCGUAGCUGGUCUGAGAGGAUGAUCAGCCACACUGGAACUGAGACACGGUCCAGACUCCUAC